rnacentral:rRNA from 1 species
CUCAGUUCGGACUGCAGGCUGCAACCCGCCUGCACGAAGUUGGAAUUGCUAGUAAUCGUGGAUCAGCAUGCCACGGUGAAUACGUUCCCGGGUCUUGUACACACCGCCCGUCACACCAUGGGAGUCGGUAACACCCGAAGUCAGUAGUCUAACCGCAAGGAGGACGCUGCCGAAGGUGGGAUUGACGACUGGGGUGAAGUCGUAACAAGGUACC